UACGGAAGGUCCUGGCGUUAUCCGGAAUUACUGGGUGUAAAGGGUGUGUAGGCGGGGCGCCAAGUCAGAUGUGAAAAUUACGGGCUCAACCCGUAACCUGCGUCUGAAACUGGUGCUCUUGAGAGUGGGAGAGGUAAACGGAAUUCCUGGUGUAGCGGUGAAAUGCGUAGAUAUCAGGAGGAACACCGGUGGCGAAGGCGGUUUACUGGACUACAACUGACGCUGAGACACGAAAGCGUGGGGAGCAAAC
rnacentral:rRNA from 1 species